UACGAAGGGGGCUAGCGUUGCUCGGAAUCACUGGGCGUAAAGGGUGCGUAGGCGGGUCUUUUAAGUCAGGGGUGAAAUCCUGGAGCUCAACUCCAGAACUGCCUUUGAUACUGAGGAUCUUGAGUUCGGGAGAGGUGAGUGGAACUGCGAGUGUAGAGGUGAAAUUCGUAGAUAUUCGCAAGAACACCAGUGGCGAAGGCGACUUACUGGACACAUAUUGACGCUGAGGUGCGAAAGCGUGGGGAGCAAACAGGG
rnacentral:rRNA from 1 species